UGUUAGAAAGACUGAGGGAGAACCUAAUUUAGUUUCUUGUUUCCGCCCGGACCGCUAUUAGUGUGACGCGCGCCGAAUCUUUAUUUCUUCAUGGUGGAUAUUUGUGUGCGUAAUAAAUAAAACCAUACUCAUAUGCUCCAUGAGCUCAGCAUGUAACAUGUGUUUCACAUGUACUUAUGCAUCUCAGCCUGUUAUGGACCAUGUUCUGUCUUUGGAGCCAUAUUAAAGCUGCCGAACAUUA